rnacentral:lncRNA from 1 species
AAGAAUUCAAACCAGUGAAGAUCAAUCUAAGGCGUCCCUCCCCACAAGAAAUGAUGCGAGAGAAAGAAUUCAUGAUGAAGUUCUAAUUAAUGCAUCCUCCACUGUGGUAUUUGAGAAGAGGGAAAGAAUUCCCCGCAAUGAAGAUCGAAACAACAUUCCGCCUAUUCCUAACACAAUGUCUGAAACCGGUAAAUCUCCAUCCUCCACUGCGGUAUUUGAGAAGAGGGAAAGAAUUCCUCGCAAUGAAGAUCGAAACAACAUUCCGCCUAUUCCUAACACAAUGUCUGAAACCGGUAAAUCUCCAUCCUCCACUGUGGUAUUUGAGAAGAGGGAAAGAAUGCCCCGCAAUGAAGAUCGAAAAAACAUUCCGCCUAUUCCUAACACAAUGUCUGAAACUGGUAAAUCUCCAUCCUCCACUGUGGUAUUCGAGAAGAGGGAAAGAAUUCCCCGCAAUGAAGAUCGAAACAACAUUCCGCCUAUUCCUAACACAAUGUCUGAAACCGGUAAAUCUGCAUCCUCCACUGUGGUGUUUGAGAAGAGGGAAAGAAUUCCCCGCAAUGAAGAUAGAAACAACAUUCUGCCGAUUCCUAACACAAUGUCUGAAACCGAUAAAUCUCCGAGUAUACCG